UCACCAAGCUACAGCCCUACAUCUCCUAGCUAUAGUCCUACAUCACCAAGCUACAGCCCCACCUCGCCGGUUUAUAGUCCAACCUCGCCGGCAUAUAGCCCUACCUCUCCUGCAUACAGCCCCACAUCCCCCUCUUAUAGCCCAACAUCCCCGUCUUACAGCCCUACGUCGCCUUCAUACAGCCCUACAUCUCCUUCAUACAGCCCUACAUCCCCAUCAUACAGUCCUACCUCCCCCUCGUACAGCCCAACAUCACCUGCAUACAGCCCUACCUCGCCUGGAUACAGCCCAACAUCACCAAGUUACAGCCCGAC
rnacentral:lncRNA from 1 species